CGAAUGGCAUGAGGUACCUGACAUGCAUUAUAAAACUUUGGUUGUGCCUUGUCCUUGAGCAUAUUGUGCAUCUCUAUGUGGCAUCAAACAAAUGUCCAUAUUUUUCACACAACUGAUGAAUGCUGGCAUAGGAAACUUGAGUGUCAACACUGUGCACAUUGUUCUGAAUGUCUAAACCAAACCAACCAGAUGCUUCCAUGUCAUUGGAACUAGAGCAUGACUGAAUUACUAUGAAUGGCAUUAAUGUAGCUGUAUUUUUAUACAUUGCUUGCAGAAUGCAAAUCCCGAGAACAGAUAUACAUUCGCUGUUGUAGGCUAUGUGUGUAGAUGUGAUUUCUGUGAGUUGGGGUGUCGCAUUUGCUCAUAUGUAUUCUGACUAAUUAAUGUCACUGAAGCAUGACUGUCUAACUGAAAUGGUACAUUUUGAUUGAAAUCUGCUAGGAUAUGAAUGUUUUGCAGUUAUUUCUUUGAAUGUGAUUGUCAGUUCUGGCUUUCAGAAGACUGACUUUGUCCACUGACUUUGUCUGAUGUGUGAGUGACAGAACAUUUUGCUGUUUGUUUAUUUGAGGAGAGCUGAUCGAAUGAGUAGACAGCGUUGUGAUUCUUGAACCUGCAUCUGUGGUUUCUGUGAGUACUUCCAGAAGGAGCAGGUGCAAUUGCUGUUUGUGUCCUGGCUUAUGGCAGUGUCAGCAUUUUGCCUGGUGGAAGAAGCAGAGUUCGCAAUCUUGCAUUACAUAGCACUUAACACAAGACAACAGAGAACAUGAACUUGCAGACAAAUGGGCUGGCCCCUUUAUGUACUCCUUACACUCCUGCAUAUAACUGUUGUCAACAUGUGCCACGCAGGAAUGGGCCCACUUUGGACUAUCAGCAUUUCUGAUAGACAAGAGACAUAAUACCAUCCAAUGAGUGAGUGUUGUGGCACAUUGGUCAGAGCUCUGGACUUACAUUCAGGACCAUCUAGUGAGAUAUAAAUAUUUCAUGACUUUUACGAACUCAGUGAUGUGAAAUGAGAGAGUGAUGUGAAGUGAGAGGGUGAUUUCUUUGAGAAGAACACAUCCAAUUUUCUUCCCCACUCAGAUUGAGGACUCUGUCUUUGGUGCCUUUCUACCCAGUGGGCUGUUAAACCUCAAUCUUCUUCGAACCCUGUACCUGCUAUCACAUUCAUCAUUUUGCAAUAAUGAGAAUCCACCCAUAUAUGUUCUAUGUUUUGAAGCUAACAUUUGCAUUUAGUUUUAUAGUUGCUCAGCCUAACAGUCAAAAAAAGACACCAGCAACAAUACAAAUAGAAAAAGCAGAAGUAGUACAUUUCCAUUAAUGUGUGUGUAAUUAUCUAUUAAAGAUGCAGACAUGAAGUUGUUACUGUUACGUAUGCAGAUGGCAUAAGUAUUUUUCAUUCUGUGCUCUUCCACAGUUGUGUCAUUAUAACUUGCCAGAAAAGAAACCUGGUUGUUGUCAUAGUUCUUGGCUGAAAAGUAAUGGGACAAACUCUAACUGGUGCUUGAUUGGAUGUAAAAUUUCAGGUAUAGAGAGUCCUGCAUCAUAGAGUAUAAGAAGCAGGCAUUUUGACUUGAGUGAACAGUAGUCAACACUCCAAAUUAUCUGCUAAAUUUCCUGCCACAUCCCAGUUUGCUGAACUGAUACAUUUUCUAUUAUAAUGAAUCUUGUAUUUAUUUCAAAGUCUCACCUUUUUCCUUGGGUCAUAGGUAUGGCAGCUUUCAAACAUUUUAUGUUCCUCUUUCUGAAACAUUCUUCACCUAAAUCGUAGUGAGUCUGAAAUUUCGAUACAGUAUGCACUUGUCCCAGAGAAAUAUACUUUACAUGAAAUAAACAUGUUCAGUUGCUUUAUCACUAUUAUACUAUCUUAAAUCUCAAGUGCUAGAUAAAAGCCAUAAUUUUGGUUUUGUCACUUGCGUGAGGGUUUCAGUUGCAGGUAAAAGCAAAAUAUUUAUCAGCCUAUACCCAUGUGGGUUAAAGUGCUGCCUAAUUUUUUUACAUAAUAGAGUGUCAAGGAUUGCCAUUUGUUUUAAAUUUCACACACUGUUAUGCUACAAUCAGUCUCUCUGCAGUUGACACAGGAGGCCUACCUCAAAAUCUCUGUCAGCCUUUCAGGCAUCUUUCAGUUUUAAAGACAUGUUGAUUUUCUUGUCUGUAUAAAAUGAACAAUAUAAUGAGCAUUUUUAUAACAUUUUCUUGUUUAUCUUCUUAUGGUUUUAAUUCUCCACAAACAAUAAAUUCGCCUGAUAUGGAAAAUUAUCUCACUUUUGACUAACACUGGGAAACAUCACCCACAAGGCUUAUAAGAAUAAUGCAGUUACGAAACAGAAUAUCAGAACUGCAUAUUAAAUCAGUUCCUUUCACACUGAAGUCCAGAGCUUUAUCACUCCAGUUCAACUAACAAGUAGUUACAACUGGAAAGUGAUAUAGUUGUGGGCAGUUCUUUCACAUGUUAAAGUAUUACACUGGCUCAAUAUGUUAUCUUUCACAAGUAAGAAUGUUCUCUAAUGUGACAACCAAAUAAAACCAGAUGGUCUACAUGAGAGCUCUAGCUCAUUUUCAUUCCUAGUUACAAACUGCAUAAAUUUAGAUUAAAAACAAAAAAUAAAGAAUAUCAUUCUCCAAGGAGACUGCUCAGUUAUGACUUAGUGCGGUGUGCUGUGUUCUAAAAAUACCUGAAAAGGCCUCAUUUCAAGUGUCCUUGCUUCUUA